rnacentral:rRNA from 1 species
AAUAGAUACCCAGGUAGUCCACGCCCUAAACGAUGUCAACUGGUUGUCGGGGAAGUUAUUCCUUGGUAACGAAGCUAACGCGUGAAGUUGACCGCCUGGGGAGUACGGCCGCAAGGUUAAAACUCAAAGGAAUUGACGGGGACCCGCACAAGCGGUGGAUUAUGUGGAUUAAUUCGAUGCAACGCGAAAAACCUUACCUACCCUUGACUUGUCAGGAAUCCCGCAGAGAUGCGGGAGUGCCCGAAAGGGAACCUGAACACAGGUGCUGCAUGGCUGUCGUCAGCUCGUGUCGUGAGAUGUUGGGUUAAGUCCCGCAACGAGCGCAACCCUUGUCAUUAGUUGCCACAUUCAGUUGGGCACUCUAGUGAGACUGCCGGUGACAAACCGGAGGAAGGUGGGGAUGACGUCAAGUCCUCAUGGCCCUUAUGGGUAGGGCUUCACACGUAAUACAAUGGCCGGUACAGAGGGCUGCCAACCCGCAAGGGGAGCUAAUCCCAGAAAGCCGGUCGUAGUCCGGAUUGUUCUCUGCAACUCGAGAGCAUGAA